rnacentral:lncRNA from 1 species
UUUUGCGUGGCCCAAGGUACUAGAUAAGUCAAUCAAUUAAGGGCCCAAUACGUAAAUUAGGUCAUGCAAAGAUGACCCUAGCCGCCACCAAAAUUAGCAGCCUUCAUACCACUCUACACAGCCAUAAACCCUAGCCGCCAACUUACCCACACCCACCUGAGAUACAUCGGACCUGAAAAUAUUACCAAGGAGCCGACAUCCAUAGCAGAUCGGAAGGCAUCCUUAAGUCGACAAACAUCCAAAGUCAGCCACCUCCACCUUCUGCCACCGCCCAAACCGCCGUCAACCACCGUCAAUCCAACCUUUAACCACCGUGCCUUUCCAGCACCAUCAUCAUCCACCAUGCGUGUCACCGGAGAACCACACAAUGCCGGAAGCCAAACCCGAUUCAAGCCGUCGAGUAUACAAUUCCGGACCAUAGGUACUUAGCUGGAGCUUGCAUGGAGAAGAGUCGUUGUGGGACAUGGAU